GACGAACGCUGGCGGCGUGCCUAAUACAUGCAAGUCGAGCGGAAUGAUGAAGAAGCUUGCUUCUUCUGAUUUUAGCGGCGGACGGGUGAGUAACACGUGGGCAACCUACCUUGUAGAUUGGGAUAACUCCGGGAAACCGGGGCUAAUACCGAAUAAUCCAUUUUGCUUCAUGGCGAGAUGUUAAAAGGCGGCUUCGGCUGUCACUACGAGAUGGGCCCGCGGCGCAUUAGCUAGUUGGUAGGGUAAUGGCCUACCAAGGCGACGAUGCGUAGCCGACCUGAGAGGGUGAUCGGCCACACUGGGACUGAGACACGGCCCAGACUCCUACGGGAGGCAGCAGUAGGGAAUCUUCCACAAUGGACGAAAGUCUGACGGAGCAACGCCGCGUGAGUGAAGAAGGUUUUCGGAUCGUAAAACUCUGUUGUUAGGGAAGAACACGUACGAGAGUAACUGCUCGUACCUUGACGGUACCUAACCAGAAAGCCACGGCUAACUACGUG
rnacentral:rRNA from 1 species